rnacentral:rRNA from 1 species
GACGAACGCUGGCGGCGUGCUUAACACAUGCAAGUCGAACGGAAAGGCCCUGCUUUUGUGGGGUGCUCGAGUGGCGAACGGGUGAGUAACACGUGAGUAACCUGCCCUUGACUUUGGGAUAACUUCAGGAAACUGGGGCUAAUACCGGAUAGGAGCUCCUGCUGCAUGGUGUGGGUUGGAAAGUUUCGGCGGUUGGGGAUGGACUCGCGGCUUAUCAGCUUGUUGGUGGGGUAGUGGCUUACCAAGGCUUUGACGGGUAGCCGGCCUGAGAGGGUGACCGGCCACAUUGGGACUGAGAUACGGCCCAGACUCCUACGGGAGGCAGCAGUGGGGAAUAUUGCACAAUGGGCGGAAGCCUGAUGCAGCAACGCCGCGUGCGGGAUGACGGCCUUCGGGUUGUAAACCGCUUUCGCCUGUGACGAAGCGUGAGUGACGGUAAUGGGUAAAGAAGCACCGGCUAACUACGU